rnacentral:rRNA from 1 species
ACGGAAGGCAGCAGUGGGGAAUAUUGCGCAAUGGAGGAAACUCUGACGCAGUGACGCCGCGUAUAGGAUGAAGGUUUUCGGAUUGUAAACUAUUGUCGUUAGGGAAGAUAAAAGACAGUACCUAAGGAGGAAGCUCCGGCUAACUACGUGCCAGCAGCCGCGGUAAUACGUAGGGAGCAAGCGUUAUCCGGAUUUAUUGGGUGUAAAGGGUGCGUAGACGGGAAAUUAAGUUAGUUGUGAAAUCCCUUGGCUUAACUGAGGAACUGCAACUAAAACUGGUUUUCUUGAGUGCAGGAGAGGAAAGAGGAAUUCCUAGUGUAGCGGUGAAAUGCGUAGAUAUUAGGAGGAACACCAGUGGCGAAGGCGUCUUUCUGGACUGUAACUGACGUUGAGGCACGAAAGUGUGGGGAGCAAACAGGAUUAGAUACCCUGGUA